rnacentral:rRNA from 1 species
AGAGUUUGAUCAAGGAUCAGAUUGAACGCUGGCGGCAUGCUUUACACAUGCAAGUCGAACGGCAGCACGGGGGCAACCCUGGUGGCGAGUGGCGAACGGGUGAGUAAUAUAUCGGAACGUACCCGGAAAUGGGGGAUAACGUAGCGAAAGUUACGCUAAUACCGCAUAUGCCCUGAGGGGGAAAGUGGGGGAUCGCAAGACCUCACGUUUUCGGAGCGGCCGAUAUCAGAUUAGCUAGUUGGUGGGGUAAAGGCCUACCAAGGCGACGAUCUGUAGCUGGUCUGAGAGGACGACCAGCCACACUGGGACUGAGACACGGCCCAGACUCCUACGGGAGGCAGUGGUGGGGAAUUUUGGACAAUGGGGGCAACCCUGAUCCAGCCAUGCCGCGUGAGUGAAGAAGGCCUUCGGGUUGUAAAGCUCUUUCGGACAGAAAGAAAUCGCACAGGAUAAUACCUUGUGUGGAUGACGGUACUGUUAGAAGAAGCACCGGCCACACUACGUGCCAGCAGCCGCGGUAAUACGUAAGGUGCGAGCGUUAAUCGGAAUUACUGGGCGUAAAGCGUGCGCAAGCGGUUUCGUAAGACGACGUGAAAUCCCCCCGGCUUAACC